CUAGGGUUUGUUGGGGUCCAUUCCACGGAUUCCGUGACGCAGCUAACGCAUUAAGUUCCCCGCCUGGGUGUAGUACGGCCGCAAGGCUAAAACUCAAAGGAAUUGACGGGGACCCGCACAAGCGGCGGAGCAUGCGGAUUAAUUCGAUGCAACGCGAAGAACCUUACCAAGGCUUGACAUAUAGAGGAAACGUCUGGAAACAGUCGCCCCGCAAGGUCUCUAUACAGGUGGUGCAUGGUUGUCGUCAGCUCGUGUCGUGAGAUGUUGGGUUAAGUCCCGCAACGAGCGCAACCCUCGUUCUAUGUUGCCAGCACGUAAUGGUGGGAACUCAUGGGAUACUGCCGGGGUCAACUCGGAGGAAGGUGGGGAUGACGUCAAAUCAUCAUGCCCCUUAUGUCUUGGGCUUCACGCAUGCUACAAUGGCCGGUACAAAGGGCUGCAAUACCGUGAGGUGGAGCGAAUCCCAAAAAGCCGGUCCUAUUUCGGAUUGAGGUCUGCAACUCGACCUCAUGAAAUUCUGA
rnacentral:rRNA from 1 species